rnacentral:rRNA from 1 species
AUUGAACGCUGGCGGCAGGCCUAACACAUGCAAGUCGAGCGAGCGGCGGACGGGUGAGUAAUGUAUGGGGAUCUGCCCGAUAGAGGGGGAUAACUACUGGAAACGGUGGCUAAUACCGCAUACUAUCAGAUGAGCCUAGGUCGGAUUAGCUAGUUGGUGGGGUAAAGGCCUACCAAGGCGACGAUCCGUAACUGGUCUGAGAGGAUGAUCAGCCACACUGGGACUGAGACACGGCCCAGACUCCUACGGGAGGCAGCAGUGGGGAAUAUUGCACAAUGGGCGCAAGCCUGAUGCAGCCAUGCCGCGUGUAUGAAGAAGGCCUUAGGGUUGUAAAGUACUUUCAGCGGGGAGGCGUUACCCGCAGAAGAAGCACCGGCUAACUCCGUGCCAGCCGCCGCGUAAUAC